UACGUAGGGCGCAAGCGUUGUCCGGAAUUAUUGGGCGUAAAGAGCUCGUAGGCGGUCUGUCGCGUCUGCUGUGAAAACUCGGGGCUUAACCCCGGGCCUGCAGUGGGUACGGGCAGACUAGAGUGCGGUAGGGGAGACUGGAAUUCCUGGUGUAGCGGUGGAAUGCGCAGAUAUCAGGAGGAACACCGGUGGCGAAGGCGGGUCUCUGGGCUGUGAACUGACGCUGAGGAGCGAAAGCGUGGGUAGCGAACAGG
rnacentral:rRNA from 1 species